rnacentral:snoRNA from 14 species
GAGCUAUGACGAAAAAAACUGUGCUGGAGCUCGUCGAUGAUGGCGCAAUCCUCUAAGAAGUUCUGAGCUU